rnacentral:rRNA from 1 species
AACGAACGCUGGCGGCAUGCCUAACACAUGCAAGUCGAACGAGACCUUCGGGUCUAGUGGCGCACGGGUGCGUAACGCGUGGGAACCUGCCCUUAGGUUCGGAAUAACUUGUCGAAAGGGGUGCUAAUACCGGAUAGUGUCUUCGGACCAAAGAUUUAUCGCCUUUGGAUGGGCCCGCGUUGGAUUAGCUAGUUGGUAGGGUAAAAGCCUACCAAGGCGACGAUCCAUAGCUGGUCUGAGAGGAUGAUCAGCCACACUGGGACUGAGACACGGCCCAGACUCCUACGGGAGGCAGCAGUGGGGAAUAUUGGACGCUGGGCGAAAGCCUGAUCCAGCACUGCCGCGUGAGUGAUGAAGGCCUUAGGGUUGUAAAGCUCUUUUACCCGGGAUGAUAAUGACAGUACCGGGAGAAUAAGCUCCGGCUAACUCCGUG